rnacentral:rRNA from 1 species
GACGAACGCUGGCGGCGUGCCUAACACAUGCAAGUCGAGCGAUGAAGCCCUUCGGGGUGGAUUAGCGGCGGACGGGUGAGUAACACGUGGGUAACCUGCCUUAUAGAGGGGGAUAGCCUUCCGAAAGGAAGAUUAAUACCGCAUAAAAUGUUUGUAUCGCAUGGUACGAACAUCAAAGGAGUAAUCCGCUAUAAGAUGGACCCGCGGCGCAUUAGCUAGUUGGUGAGGUAAAGGCCCACCAAGGCGACGAUGCGUAGCCGACCUGAGAGGGUGAUCGGCCACAUUGGAACUGAGACACGGUCCAGACUCCUACGGGAGGCAGCAGUGGGGAAUAUUGCGCAAUGGGGGAAACCCUGACGCAGCAACGCCGCGUGAAUGAAGAAGGCCUUAGGGUUGUAAAGUUCUGUUUUCUGGGACGAUAAUGACGGUACCAGAGGAGGAAGCCACGGCUAACUACGUG